AGUGAACGCUGGCGGUAGGCCUAACACAUGCAAGUCGAACGGCAGCACAGUAAGAGCUUGCUCUUACGGGUGGCGAGUGGCGGACGGGUGAGGAAUACAUCGGAAUCUACUUUUUCGUGGGGGAUAACGUAGGGAAACUUACGCUAAUACCGCAUACGACCUACGGGUGAAAGCAGGGGAUCUUCGGACCUUGCGCGAUUGAAUGAGCCGAUGUCGGAUUAGCUAGUUGGCGGGGUAAAGGCCCACCAAGGCGACGAUCCGUAGCUGGUCUGAGAGGAUGAUCCGCCACACUGGAACUGAGACACGGUCCAGACUCCUACGGGAGGCAGCAGUGGGGAAUAUUGGACAAUGGGCGCAAGCCUGAUCCAGCUAUACCGCGUGGGUGAAGAAGGCCUUCGGGUUGUAAAGCCCUUUUGUUGGGAAAGAAAAGCAGCAGGUUAAUACCCCGCUGUUCUGACGGUACCCAAAGAAUAAGCACCGGCUAACUUCGUG
rnacentral:rRNA from 1 species